GAUGUGGUGUGUGUGCCUCCGAGCGUGCAUGAUAUGGCUGUGGCUUAGUUUAGCUUUUGUUCAGAUUUUUCUUUUGCUCUUUGUCUUGGCCUUUGUUCUUGCCUUUGUUUGGCCUUUGUUUUGUGUUUGUUUUGCUCUUUGUUUAAACUUUCUUUAGCUUUUGUUUGGUCUUUCUUUAGCCUUUUGUUUAAACUUUGUGUGGCCUUUGUGUGGCUUUUGUUUUAAAGUACAUCUUGCCUAAGGACCCAUCACAAACACCUUCUGUAAUGAAAAACGCAGACAUAUAGCCUCUCCCUAUAUAUUCUUCAUGCAUUGAGGUGGGUCAACUCCACAGGGACCUGCGAUCCACUGGAAUCUGUUCCACACAGUAACUACUGCCUGCAGGGGAAAUAAAAGAAGCAAAUGAUCCCAAGACAAGCUCCUAGAGGAGACCUAGUCACCAGAUGUGUGUGGAUGAAAAUACAGUAAGAUGAGUCAGAAGAUGGCCAAAGACGGUCCCAGGCUCUCCAAGAACCAAAAGUUUUCUGAGCACUUCAGCAUCCACUGCUGCCCGCCCUUCACCUUCCUCAACUCCAAGCGCGAGAUCGUGGACCGGAAAUACAGCAUCUGCAAGAGCGGCUGCUUCUACCAGAAGAAAGAGGAGGACUGGAUCUGCUGCGCCUGCCAGAAGACCAGCCGCCGUGCCCGUGCCACGUCCCCUCAGAGGCCCAAGCAACAGCCAGCUGCACCCCCCGCGGUGGUCAGAACGCCGCCCGCCAAGCCAAAGUCCCCUCCGAGGCCAGCCAAGCCAAGGUCCCCCUCGAGGACUGAGCGUCAGCCGCGUCCCCGCCCAGAGGUCCGGCCACCACCAGCCAAGCAAAGACCCCCUCAGAAGUCCAAGCAACCAGCACGCAGCAGCCCGGUCAGAGGGCCAGGCACCAGCCGUGGGGGGUCCCCCAUCAGAGCUCCUAGGUUCUGGUAACACCAACUCUUGCCUUUUGUCCCCCCAGUCUAAGAUUGAAAAGGAGGAACAAGUCAACCCCAAGAAAAAAGUGAUCAAGAAGGAGUUCCAGUGAGUGGAUGGUCUCUGCCUCUGGACUUACUGCUCUGCGACUCUCCUGCCCUUGAGCGAGUUAUCUAGCUUUGAGUAUGAUGCAGGGGCAGAUACCUGCUGAUGUGGCAACUACUGAUGCCCACAGUCUCCACAGCGUGGGAGCCUCAGGGCAGCCUGCCUGGAGCACUUUGAAGAUACCAUUCCACUCUCUUCCUCUAAUUGCCAAUGAGAAAUCUGCUGUCCAGCUACUUACCCUUCCAUGACUCAAGGUUCUUCAGUUUGAGGAUUCAUGUCUUUCUUCAGGGAUGUGCAACAUAAGUUAAUGUUGCACAAACG